rnacentral:rRNA from 1 species
GACGAACGCUGGCGGCGUGCUUAACACAUGCAAGUCGAACGGAAAGGCCCUGCUUUUGUGGGGUGCUCGAGUGGCGAACGGGUGAGUAACACAUGAGUAACCUGCCCUUGACUUUGGGAUAACUUCAGGAAACUGGGGCUAAUACCGGAUAGGAGCUCCUGCUGCAUGGUGGGGGUUGGAAAGUUUCGGCGGUUGGGGAUGGACUCGCGGCUUAUCAGCUUGUUGGUGGGGUAGUGGCUUACCAAGGCUUUGACGGGUAGCCGGCCUGAGAGGGUGACCGGCCACAUUGGGACUGAGAUACGGCCCAGACUCCUACGGGAGGCAGCAGUGGGGAAUAUUGCACAAUGGGCGGAAGCCUGAUGCAGCGACGCCGCGUGCGGGAUGACGGCCUUCGGGUUGUAAACCGCUUUCGCCUGUGACGAAGCGUGAGUGACGGUAAUGGGUAAAGAAGCACCGGCUAACUACGUG